rnacentral:misc_RNA from 1 species
AAGCCCUUGGCCAGUUAGCCACAAAUGAGCUGGAUGGAAAGGUGUUAUUAUGUUUGUCCUUUUAUUCCUGUUAUGCUUGUGAAUUUUUGGGGUCAUUUGUCACUAUUUUUGAUCUUUGCUUCCUCAUUCAAGCAAUGAGUUAUCGAUUAGAAGAAAUCUAAUUUUGUUUCAUGUUCCAAACACGUUUGCCUGUCCUGUCCAAUGUUCAGUAUGGCCAGCCCCAGACUCCAUGUUUCUUGUUUCUUACACAAAAAUAGGCACCACAGCUACUUUAUUGUUAGAGAAGAACCAUAGUCUUCAGAAAUCCAUUACUAGGUUAACUGAUUGUACAUCAAUGUAGAUCUUUGUGGUCUGAAAAUAUCAGUGCCAAAUUCCAGUUAGAUUAUUUGAGUGUUUUAUUCAUUAGGAAUUUUCUAAUUUUUAGAACAAGAAUGGAUUUAUGUUACUGCAGUAACAUGUGCCUUGCAGUAUAGACAGUGAAGGACUCAGGUUGGAUUUUGCUUUUUCCCCCAUGUCCUUUGACUCCAAAAAGAAUUAUCAGAGUGGUUUUGUUCAUACCACUGUUGUAGAGAAUAAGU